rnacentral:rRNA from 1 species
GUGGAUUAGCUACCCUGGUAGUCCACGCCGUAAACGAUGUCGACGAGCCGUUGGAGACCUUAGAGUCUUUAGUGGCGCAGCUAACGCACUAAGUCGACCGCCUGGGGAGUACGGCCGCAAGGUUAAAACUCAAAUGAAUUGACGGGGGCCCGCACAAGCGGUGGAGCAUGUGGUUUAAUUCGAUGCAACGCGAAGAACCUUACCACCCCUUGACAUGCCAGGAACUUUCCAGAGAUGGAUUGGUGCCUUCGGGAGCCUGGACACAGGUGCUGCAUGGUCGUCGUCAGCU